rnacentral:rRNA from 1 species
AAAUUGAAGAGUUUGAUCAUGGCUCAGAUUGAACGCUGGCGGCAGGCCUAACACAUGCAAGUCGAACGGUAACAGGAAGCAGCUUGCUGCUUCGCUGACGAGUGGCGGACGGGUGAGUAAUGUCUGGGAAACUGCCUGAUGGAGGGGGAUAACUACUGGAAACGGUAGCUAAUACCGCAUAACGUCGCAAGACCAAAGAGGGGGACCUUCGGGCCUCUUGCCAUCGGAUGUGCCCAGAUGGGAUUAGCUUGUUGGUGGGGUAACGGCUCACCAAGGCGACGAUCCCUAGCUGGUCUGAGAGGAUGACCAGCCACACUGGAACUGAGACACGGUCCAGACUCCUACGGGAGGCAGCAGUGGGGAAUAUUGCACAAUGGGCGCAAGCCUGAUGCAGCCAUGCCGCGUGUAUGAAGAAGGCCUUCGGGUUGUAAAGUACUUUCAGCGGGGAGGAAGGGAGUAAAGUUAAUACCUUUGCUCAUUGACGUUACCCGCAGAAGAAGCACCGGCUAACUCCGUGCCAGCAGCCGCGGUAAUACGGAGGGUGCAAGCGUUAAUCGGAAUUACUGGGCGUAAAGCGCACGCAGGCGGUUUGUUAAGUCAGAUGUGAAAUCCCCGGGCUCAACCUGGGAACUGCAUCUGAUACUGGCAAGCUUGAGUCUCGUAGAGGGGGUAGAAUUCCAGGUGUAGCGGUGAAAUGCGUAGAGAUCUGGAGGAAUACCGGUGGCGAAGGCGGCCCCUGGACGAAGACUGACGCUCAGGUGCGAAAGCGUGGGGAGCAAACAGGAUUAGAUACCCUGGUAGUCCACGCCGUAAACGAUGUCGACUUGGAGGUUGUGCCCUUGAGGCGUGGCUUCCGGAGCUAACGCGUUAAGUCGACCGCCUGGGGAGUACGGCCGCAAGGUUAAAACUCAAAUGAAUUGACGGGGGCCCGCACAAGCGGUGGAGCAUGUGGUUUAAUUCGAUGCAACGCGAAGAACCUUACCUGGUCUUGACAUCCACGGAAGUUUUCAGAGAUGAGAAUGUGCCUUCGGGAACCGUGAGACAGGUGCUGCAUGGCUGUCGUCAGCUCGUGUUGUGAAAUGUUGGGUUAAGUCCCGCAACGAGCGCAACCCUUAUCCUUUGUUGCCAGCGGUCCGGCCGGGAACUCAAAGGAGACUGCCAGUGAUAAACUGGAGGAAGGUGGGGAUGACGUCAAGUCAUCAUGGCCCUUACGACCAGGGCUACACACGUGCUACAAUGGCGCAUACAAAGAGAAGCGACCUCGCGAGAGCAAGCGGACCUCAUAAAGUGCGUCGUAGUCCGGAUUGGAGUCUGCAACUCGACUCCAUGAAGUCGGAAUCGCUAGUAAUCGUGGAUCAGAAUGCCACGGUGAAUACGUUCCCGGGCCUUGUACACACCGCCCGUCACACCAUGGGAGUGGGUUGCAAAAGAAGUAGGUAGCUUAACCUUCGGGAGGGCGCUUACCACUUUGUGAUUCAUGACUGGGGUGAAGUCGUAACAAGGUAACCGUAGGGGAACCUGCGGUUGGAUCACCUCCUUA